GAAACAGUUCUUAUUACUUGUCUAGUAAUUGAACUUGUUGGAAGGAUGUCUAUAAAUAAUUCAUCUAUGUAGAGCAUCAUUGGAGUCGGUUUUACACACUUAACCUGUAUGAAGGAUAUGCAGGAUUUAACCUGUAUGAAUGAUGCAUGCAGGAUAAAUUCCUUUUCUUUUAUUAUUUUUUCAAAAAAAUAUUGAAGUGCUCUCCAUGUUAAAGGGGCAUAUUGUCUCAAAUAAUUUUGCUUUUCUCAGC
rnacentral:lncRNA from 1 species